GACCGCUCCGGUGGCCUAAUGGUUCGGGCGUCUGCUUCAAAUGCGGGAGGUCGCAGGAUCGAACCCAUGCCGAGUCA